AACGGCCAUACCAUGCUGAAUAUACCGGUUCUCGUUAGAUCACCGAAGUCAAGCAUCAUUGGGGCGGUCAGUACUUGGGUGGGUGGCACCGCGUGA